rnacentral:rRNA from 1 species
CCACGGUAGGGUCAGCGACUGGGGUGAAGUCGUAACAAGGUAGCCGUAGGGGAACCUGCGGCUGGAUCACCUCCUUU